GUGGGGAAUUUUGGACAAUGGGCGAAAGCCUGAUCCAGCCAUGCCGCGUGCAGGAUGAAGGCCUUCGGGUUGUAAACUGCUUUUGUACGGAACGAAAAGACUCCUUCUAAUAAAGGGGGUCCAUGACGGUACCGUAAGAAUAAGCACCGGCUAACUACGUGCCAGCAGCCGCGGUAAUACGUAGGGUGCAAGCGUUAAUCGGAAUUACUGGGCGUAAAGCGAGCGCAGGCGGUUAUAUAAGACAGAUGUGAAAUCCCCGGGCUCAACCUGGGAACUGCAUUUGUGACUGUAUAGCUAGAGUACGGCAGAGGGGGAUGGAAUUCCGCGUGUAGCAGUGAAAUGCGUAGAUAUGCGGAGGAACACCGAUGGCGAAGGCAAUCCCCUGGGCCUGUACUGACGCUCAUGCACGAAAGCGUGGGGAGCAAACAGGAUUAGAUACCCCGGUAGUCC
rnacentral:rRNA from 1 species